CAGUAGUAAGUGGCUUACCUCCAAGGCCGGGACCUGGCCAUCCUUUAUUCAAGUAUACAGUAGAAAAGCCACAUAGUAUUGCACAGUUCUCCUUCCAAGCAACGAACAGUGAUGAACUCUCAUUUGAGGAAAAUGAUGUAAUUAUUUUAUUGAGGGAAGUGAAUGCUGAUUGGUUUUGUGGACGCAAUAAAGACAAAGAAGGAAUAUUUCCUAAGAAUUUUGUCAGGGUCAUCAAACCGUUAUCGAGUGAGGAGAAGGAGAAAGAGAAGGAGAUUGAGGUGA